rnacentral:tRNA from 1 species
GGUGGCUCAGUGGUAGAGUACUUGCCUUACAAGCAUGAGGCCCUGGGUUCAAUUCCUCAGCACCA